GAUGAAGAACGUAGCGAAAUGCGAUAAGUAAUGUGAAUUGCAGAAUCCAGUGAAUCAUCGAAUCUUUGAACGCACAUUGCGCCCGCCAGCAUUCUGGCGGGCAUGCCUGUUCGAGCGUUAUUUCAACCCUCGACCUCCCCUUGGGGAGGUCGGCGUUGGGGACCGGCAGCACACCGCCGGCCCUGAAAUGGAGUGGCGGCCCGUCUGCGGCGACCUCUGCGUAGUAAUACAGCUCGCACCGGAACCCCGACGCGGCCACGCCGUAAAACACCCAACUUCUGAACGUUGACCUCGAAUCAGGUAGGACUACCCGCUGAACUUAAGCAUAUCAAUAAGCGGAGGA
rnacentral:misc_RNA from 1 species